rnacentral:rRNA from 1 species
UCUGACACAGGUGCUGCAUGGCUGUCGUCAGCUCGGUGUCCGUGAGAUGUUGGGUUAACGUCCGUAACGAGCGCAACCCUUGUCCUUAGUUACCAGCACGGUUAUGGUGGGCACUCUAAGGAGACUGCCGGUGACAAACCGGAGGGAAGGUGGGGAUGACGUCAAGUCAGUCCAUGGCCCUUACGGCCUGGGCUACACACGUGCUACAAUGGUCGGUACAAAGGGUUGCCAAGCCGCGAGGUGGAGCUAAUCCCAUAAAACCGAUCGUAGUCCGGAUCGCAGUCUGCAACUCGACUGCGUGAAGUCGGAAUCGCUAGUAAUCGUGAAUCAGAAUGUCACGGUGAAUACGUUCCCGGGCCUU